rnacentral:rRNA from 1 species
UACGAAGGGGGGCUAGCGUUGCUCGGAAUCACUGGGCGUAAAGCGCACGUAGGCGGCUUUCUAAGUCAGGGGUGAAAAUCCUGGAGCUCAACUCCAGAACUGCCUUUGAUACUGGGGAGCUCGAGUCCGGAAGAGGUGAGUGGAACUCCGAGUGUAGAGGUGAAAUUCGUAGAUAUUCGGAAGAACACCAGUGGCGAAGGCGGCUCACUGGUCCGGUACUGACGCUGAGGUGCGAAAGCGUGGGGAGCAAACAGG